AUUAUUGGCAAUGUCUAGAAAGUUCUGUCAAAAAGAGGUUUGGUCACCUAAUUGCGCGCCAGUAAGGAGAAAUCCUUAUUGGAAAGCCCCCUCUGUCCUGGGAACUGCCUGGUUGUCAAUAAUGUGAUUCUGUAAUAUUAUUUGUGAAUAAUUAAUUAUUGAUUUAUAUGAUGAGGAAAAUAUUGAUUUUUAUGUGGAUAUAAAUAAAGAAAAUUUUUAAUGUGAC
rnacentral:lncRNA from 1 species